CAAUGAGCUCUCCAUGGCUGGAAACCGUCUUGCAUUUUUGCCACUUGAUUUAGGUCGAUCUCGAGAACUACAAUAUGUAUAUGUGGAUAACAACAUUCACCUGAAAGGCUUGCCAUCUUAUCUGUACAAUAAAGUCAUCGGGUGCAGUGGGUGGCAAAUAAAGUGCCUGCAAUCACCAUGGUACAUAGAACGAUGCAAGCAAGCUCCAAAGCUGAAGGCACUUUUUCCCACACCAAAACCUUCAGAGACCACACUGAAAUGCGAUCUGCAUCUCUGCCACAAUUAAGGAGUAGCUUUUGUUUAAGAAAAAGUGCCUUAUACUUUGUCGUUUAGAUAUAGAUGUUAUUGACUACUAGAAAGUUCUGUUUGUGCUAAGUAGAGAGAGAUUUUUAAAUCUUUGACUUGGUGUCUGGUAGCAGUGGUAGUGAAUUUGAUGAGAACUCCAAAUCUUUUUAAAAAAACAAAACACUAGGGGAAAAUACACAAAUUAUUAG
rnacentral:sRNA from 1 species